AUCCAACUGACGAGUCCCAUAUAGGACGAAACGCGCAUCCUGGAU
rnacentral:hammerhead_ribozyme from 1 species